AACGAACGCUGGCGGCAGGCCUAACACAUGCAAGUCGAACGCCCGUAGCAAUACGGGAGUGGCAGACGGGUGAGUAACGCGUGGGAACGUGCCCUUCGGUUCGGAAUAACUCAGGGAAACUUGAGCUAAUACCGGAUACGUCCGUAAGGAGAAAGAUUUAUCGCCGAAGGAUCGGCCCGCGUCGGAUUAGCUAGUUGGUGAGGUAACGGCCCACCAAGGCGACGAUCCGUAGCUGGUCUGAGAGGANGAUCAGCCACACUGGGACUGAGACACGGCCCAGACUCCUACGGGAGGCAGCAGUGGGGAAUAUUGGACAAUGGGCGAAAGCCUGAUCCAGCCAUGCCGCGUGAGUGAAGAAGGCCUUAGGGUUGUAAAGCUCUUUCAGCGGGAAGAUAAUGACGGUACCCGCAGAAGAAGCCCCGGCUAACUUCGUGCCAGCAGCCGCCGU
rnacentral:rRNA from 1 species